ACACAGCUGCCUUCCCACUUCUGGAUUGGACACAGGUCUCUCCUCCGGCUUUCAGGGGCAGGAUCUGAGCAAGAGCUUGGACACUUCCAAGAUAGGAAACCCAGAGCCAAGUGCCUCAGCUUCCACAUGCAUGCUGGCAGCCCAAUAAUUGGGUAUUAAACCACAUUUUACUGAACAAUUUGGAGUGUCCCAUUUGGGGUAAGCACCAGCUGGUGCUCCAAGCGCUCUGCUGGGACAAGCAGUUUGGAGCUGGACUUUGCUGAUCCCCGUGGAUCCCUUCCAACUCAGGAUAUUCGAUGAAGUGGCGUGAAUGGAUUAAUUUAAAAUGUGCUGGGGUGGCUCUUUACAUUCAACUGUGAAAACACUCAAGGAGAGAAAUUCCUAGAACCAGCCUUUGCUCCGCUAGCAGUUCCCAGCCUGAACCGUUUCCAGCGCAACCACUGAUCAAACCUACCCCGGUUUUCUUUUCAAGCUCCCCUCAAACAGAAAAAAAAAAUCACAGCCAAGGGUAGAAAAUUUGCCAGGCUCUUUGGGAGCGUGUUGGGAGUUUCGGGUGCUGGGGACGCCGGAGCCAGCAGCCAUCCAGGCUUCUCCAAACUCCUAAUUUUGCAGGGAGAUCUCAAGCUAACGAGCUGUCAGCCGAGUGCCUUCGCACCCGAGGCAGCCGUGGGCUGAGCUCCUGGUUCUUUAUACCUAUUCCAGCAACUUCUGGGCUUUGCAAUAAGCGUCUGCAAAUCCAAUUAGCGUCUUUCUUUGUGGCACUGGAUGCUGGCAGAGAUCCGCUGUGCUGCUGCCAUCUACAGUAGGGCCAGUGCCAAUGGAUAAGAAACAGCUCUGAUUUGCAUAUUCAAAUAUGCAAAUGAGACGCGACAGCUCUCCUUCAUUUUUGUUUGGGUUUUAUUUUUUAAUUUUUCUUUCCAGACUCUUGCCUCAAAGAUCCUUGUCUUGGACUGAAAGGUGUGUGUUUAAUCUGGCUUGGCCCAUGGUAGGAGACCAUGCCAAGGGCUGGUUCUGUCCCGUGAGAGUUGGGGAUGAUGGAAAAUAAAGUGGAAAAAAGACUUUGCACUGCGCUUAUCCCUGUCUUGGCCAGGGAUGGGAAAGAUUUCAGGGGUGUUUUCCCAGGUUCCAGCCCUGGGAAAGGACAACACGUUCUUUCUCUCUCCUGCCUGUGCACACCACGGAUGCUUUACAGGCCGAACGUGGCUGUUCCUGGGGAGUGUGAGUAAAGGGGCGUUGAGAUGAGUCCUGGUGCUCCAGUGGGGAAGGUCCGGACAGAGCAGCCCUCACUCAGGUGUCCCCAGUCACCAGACUGUCAGGAGCUGUGGCAGAGCCCACCCCGGCUCUUGGGAUGAUCUGAGGAGCAGGCAACUGCAGACAAAACUGCUCCUCGAGGCACCUCUUCCCUCCCCCUGGCUCCCUUUCUCUGCAGGAACACAGCACUGACCCCCCAAACACACACACACAGGGCCCCCCACCCUCCCCAGCAGCCCCUCCAGACCGUUCUCAUGCAGCCUGAGAUGCCUGAAUUGCUCAUUUUUCAGCAAAAGUUCUUUCCUGUACGUUUAGCAUCCCUCACUGCGAGGUGGGCUGUACAUCAACUGCACAUCGACUGCAAGUCCCUGUCAUGGUUUUGUAUGUCUGUGCUUGUGGCUUGCCCUUCCUGUCUCUGGAGAAACAAGUUUGUUUCACUGUUUUUCAUAUUCAUUAUUAUUUUCUCAUUACUAAUUUAGUUGCAGCCUUCCCUGCUUCCACUCUUGCACUGAAGACCAUGACUUCUGUGGUCAGUCUGGGCUCUGAGUGGCUUGGGCACCAGCCAGGGAACAAGCAAGGCUGAUUCCAGCACGGAAAGAAUCAGGCAAUGUAGAAAAACGGUCAUCUUGUAAUAGCUCUAAAGGAUUUAAAGAUUAAGACACAAACCUCACAUUUGAACGGGGUUUCUCUGAGAAAAUUCACUCUUCCACUUUGUGCCCAUGUGCAACGUGCCUGAGUGGAAGGAUUCUCAAGUUCUGGAUGUCAGUGACUUCACUGCCUUCUCUUACAGCUGCAAAGUGAUUACAGUGGUCUUCACCCACUUCUGCAAAGCACAUCCCAUGAGCCAAGUGCUCGGUGGUGUUCCCAAGAUGAACAAAUCUGCAGCUGAAACCCAGAAAUGGUGAUAUUUAGUGCUGGUGAAAAGAGCCAGAUGAAUAGUCCCAAACACGUCACGUCCCUCGCAGAUGCAACAUGGGCAGCACAAGCGUCCUCGAACUGCCCCGCCAACGUGAUCCAGUUCUGAAUGAGCAGCACCAGCUUUCUGGGGGAGAAAGGAGCCUGUCACCAUUCAGCCCCUGACCCCUCUGCUCCAGCCUGUUAAUGAAGGGGCCUCAUUAACACCAAAGAUAAAUCACUCUGCCUUGAAAAGUUUCCAGUCUGCGAGCCAAAUCCUGGGAAUCUGAAACAGCGGGAGGCAACUGGUGCAGCAGAACAGCUCGAUGCUGACCCAGACCCCACGCCUGGAAUUUGGCAUCCACAGCUGGAGCCUCCCCCCCUCAGCAGCACCAGGAGAGAAGUGAGACUGGGAUCAGCAACACGGCUCUAAUCCUGAUAGGAUCACCCAGAAGAGCCCAACUUGUGCAACUCCAGCCCGGGGCGGAGGGACAGAACCUUCACCUGUGACAGGGGACAAGGCUGCAGGUCCUGACAUCACAGUGCCAGUGCUUUGGGGCAGGAAGCAGCAGUCUGGGGAGUGUUUGCAGCGUGCUGGGCUGGACUCCUGAGCACAGCCUUCUGGGCAGGUAAGAGAGCCAUGGGAUUAGUUAGAGUGUGAGAGGGCCAGGACA